rnacentral:lncRNA from 1 species
UAGUAACAAAAAUCCUUAAUAGAAUGUCAGCAAAUUGAUUCCAGUGAUACAUGAAAAGAAAUCACGGGAACCUGUAGGGAUUUUGCCCAGGAAUGUCCAGUUAAUGUUUUAAACAAAUUUUAGUAGGUUAGGCCAUUGGGCCAGAAAACCCUAGAGUGCGCAUCAUUUUAAAGAAUGUUUUCCCGUUGCCCACCUAGUGUCUGGAUGGUACCAGAGCCAUUAGCCUGGGGAUCCCACUGUAGCUCCUCAGCCUUCUCCACCUGCUUCAUUUGGGUUUUGUUCUGAGACAAGUUCUUUCUAUGUAUAGAUCCAGGCUGGCCUUAAAUUCACUUGUGUAGCCCUGGAUGGCCUCAAGUUUGCCAUGGUUCUCCUUUCUCAGCCUUCCAGUUGUUGGGAUUGCAGGCAUGUACUGCCAUGCCUGUUUUCUGCCUGCCCAGGGACAAUGCUACAGAGCAUUUAGGGGGACAGCUAGGAGGGAGACCAAGAAGCAAGAAGAGACUCGGAAUGCCUGCAGAGCAGGCCGCUUCUAGUUAGCCAGGGCUGAUUUAGAGAAAGCAAUGAGGUUACACAACCCAAGACCGAGAUGUAUAGGUCCCAGGACAAAGGCCACUACUUCGGGACUGCUUUUACAAAAAUUCAGCCGUGGGGCCUGGACUUGGGAAGGGGCUGAUCCAUUUGUGGGACUUAAGAAUGGCAAGUGGCCAACCUGUAUGGCCGUGUGGGGUGUGGUUAGAAAGUCCUACCUCCUCUGGUUUCUCCACCCUGCCUGUUAUUCCAUUCACAUUUGUCCAUGAAGGAACUGAGGCUAAGAAAACGCAGCACUGGCCUUGGGAAGGGUUGCUCAGUUCUCCAAAAUGUGGAUAAGAGACUGUGGAUACAUCUGAAAAGGACCACAGACACUGUACGCUGGGUGCAUUUUCCCACACUUUCAAAAAAUUGAAAGCAGACUGGAAGGGUCACCUCUUAACACGGGAGCUUUUGUUUCUUUCCUCCUUAACUGUCUGGCACAUGGGAUGUUGUUGUACAGAAUCUGGGGCCCCCACAGCCAGGGCUCUAGAAGCCAGAGCCAGAUGCAGGAUUACCCGGAGCAAGGAAAGGAGACAUUGUUUCCAAGGCUUCCUGGAUCGGUUUAGAGCAUUAAUCCAUUUCCUGGGAAACAGCCCAGGCCCCUGAAUGCAUUCCCUAGGAGACAGCACCAGGGGGCCCUAUCCUGGCUCCUCACUGUCUUGUACGUACAGUAUGGCAAAGCAGUGGAAGGCAGGCUGGGAGUACGCGCCCACACCCAGGAAGGAGGAGAGAGGAGGGAGGUUUGCAGUGGCAGUACUAAGCAAAUGCAGUAAAUACAAGUACUGCAGUUGCCAGGAGCAUGCUUAUUUUCUCUUCCCUCCACGCCUCGGGAGCAAGCCACUAAGAAUUGAUGAAGAGAGAAACUGUGUCCGAAGCAAUUGAGCAGAGCGCUCUCUGCAUGGGGUCUUCCCAGCCCACUGGUAACGGUUGAAUCAAGAUGGAGCGAGUUUGGAGAUGUACAUCAAAGCUUCUCCUGCUUCACGUGUCUCCAAAGCGUUCCUUGGCUGCCAGGGAAGAAGAGCAUCACACUCAUGGUGAACACUGAUAAUUAAAGUCAACAUCUCUGCACACUGAGUCAAUUUAUUGAACACCUUUUUUAUUGCUAGGUAAUCCUGUAUGUCAAUUCUCUAUAGCCAAAUAAUUGGUGGGUUUCCUUUUUUUUUUUUUCAAAUUUAAUGUCUCUCAUGAAAUUUGCAUUUAAUAAAGGUUGCUUUCCUGCCUUUCUCAGGAACCUCCAGUACUGUGCUUCUCUGUUGGUCUUGACCUGACUAUUUCCCAAGUGAUGCAGGAGGGUAAGAGGCUAUGGUUGUCAUGGCUACUGGGUGGCUACAUGGCU